rnacentral:pre_miRNA from 17 species
GACUGCAUGGGAUAAUCGAUUAUCAUGUGCGCUCGGUAUAACUGGACCGCACGGGAUAAUCGAUUAUCCCAUGCAGUU